AACGAACGCUGGCGGCAGGCUUAACACAUGCAAGUCGAACGAUGUAGCAAUACAUAGUGGCGCACGGGUGAGUAACGCGUGGGAAUGUACCUUUUGGUGGGGAAUAACUUCGGGAAACUGGAGCUAAUACCGCAUACGCCCUUCGGGGGAAAGAUUUAUCGCCAAAAGAUCAGCCCGCGUGAGAUUAGGUAGUUGGUGGGGUAAUGGCCUACCACGCCGACGAUCUCUAGCUGGUCUCAGAGGACGAUCAGCCACACUGGAACUGAGACACGGUCCAGACUCCUACGGGAGGCAGCAGUGGGGAAUAUUGGGCAAUGGACGAAAGUCUGACCCAGCCAUGCCGCGUGAGUGAUGAAGGCUCUAGGGUUGUAAAGCUCUUUCGCCGAUGAAGAUAAUGACGGUAGUCGGAGAAGAAGCCCCGGCUAACUUCGUGCCAGCCGCCGCAGUAACAC
rnacentral:rRNA from 1 species